AACAAACCUAUGUCACCUAGGAAGAGGGACCUCAACCAAAGCCAUUGCUUUGAUCAAACUGGCAGGUGGCCAUGUCUAUGAGGUAUUUUCUUAAUUGCUAAUUGAUGUAGGCAGGCCUAGCCCACUGUGGGCAGUGCCAUCAGGUGGUCCUGAGCUGUGUAAGAAAACUAGCUGAGCUAGCCAAUAAGCAUUGCUCCUCCAUGGUGUCUGCAUCAGCUCCUGCCUCCACACCUGAGUUCCUGGAUUAGCGAACUGUACCCAGUUCUCUAAAAUUAACCCUUUCUCUGCCAGAUUGCUGCUGGUUGUGUGGUUAUCAUAGUAACAGAAACCAAACUAGAAUAGAGUUUGACUAUAAAGGAUGGGAAGAGCCCGCGAUGCCUCUCAGGGUUUGUUCUGGAUACCAGGAAAACGAGAAGCAUCAGGUGCACCAGGAACACAUGGCUUCUGCUUUGAUCUGCCAACUUUGACUCCUUGUAUACAGAGGACCAAGAUCAGCAGCUAACAGGUGAUUUCUUGAGUGGAUCUGUUUACUCCAUGCUAUUUUGAAGGCCCCAAAACAAAGAAGAGCACUGAUCCAAGGAGAAAGACAUGUUUUCCAUCUUUAAACAAAACCAGAACUUACAUAUCACUAUGAAAAUGAGGGGCUUCGGUAGACUGGAUAUAGUCCAGCAAGGACCUGUUGAAUUUUGUCAAAUGCCUUUUCUGCAUCUUUUGAGAUGAUCAUGUCAUUUCUGUUCUUAAGACUGCUCAUAUGGUGUACUGCAUUUAUUGAUUUGGAUAUAUUAAAUGCAUUUUGCAUCCCUGGG
rnacentral:lncRNA from 1 species